rnacentral:tRNA from 1 species
UGCAUUUAAAAAGAAUUGUAAAUUCUUACAAGGUUAUCCAAAUGCAU